rnacentral:lncRNA from 1 species
CAUGAUUUCGACGCCGGUGUUCCGUUUUUAUCGGUUCGAAUCGGUUGUCGAUUAUCCGAGUUUCUCAGGCAUCAUCAAAUUGAGACCUUGAACAACUUGCUCCCAUGCCCUCCUUUCUGCAAGGAAUCAAAUCAUCAGGGUCCUCUCUUGGUUUGUCAAGUCACCAUGUUUGCAUGUGGGGGAAUAGCUUUAGGCAUCUGCGCCUCACAUAAAAUCACUGACGCCAAAACAGGCUUCAUUUUAGGCUUUGUUUGGAGCACAAUCUGCCAAGGAUACCACCCUGAAAUUAGAUUUCCUGCCUUAUCUAAGGCAUCCUUGAUCUUUCCACCUAAAAAUCCAAUGCCCAAGAAUUACAUAAUCAUGAUGGAAAACUUAUGGUUCACUGAAGGUAAUUUUAUUACACGGACAUUUGUGUUUAAUGAGGAAGCAAUAGCCGUCCUAAAGGACAUGGCAAAAGGGGAAGUCGAGACUACACCGACACGAACCGAAGCUGUCUCGGGUUUCAUCUGGAAAUGUUCAAUGGCGGCAUCCAGGGCGAUACAAGGAACCUCGAAACCAUCCAUUGUGGUCCAAGCGGUGAACAUGAGGCCAAAAGGGAAGCUUACGACAUGAGAUGGUUCGGUUGGGAAUGUCUUCUGGUGGGCGAGUGCACUCUCGAAUGCAGCCGAGACAGGCACCGAGUUAUCCACAUUGGUCGAGUUGAUGAGUCAAUCCAUUGCUGUUUUCGACGAUGAAUACAUGAGAUCCGUCCAAGGUGAACAAGGGUUUGAAGCCAUCGCUGAGCACUUGAACCAGCUGGAGCUGUUGUUUUCCUUUGAAAAACCUGAUAUUUUCGCCUUCACCAACUGGAUCAAUACCGAUUUUCACAAACUAGAUUUCGAAUGGGGGCAACGUUCUUCAUUUGCAUUACUGGGAAAGUAACAUUAUUCAAAAUAAUAAUUAAUUAAAAAUAUAUAGAUAUAAAUUAUUUUGAUAUUUGAAAUAUAGUGAUAAUAAAAAAAAUUCUAAUCAUUAUUAAAGAAUUUGUAAAAAAUAUAAAAAAUUUUGAUAUAUUGUAAAUUUUAAUUUAAAAAUAGUAUUUUUAUCUUUUAUUAUUUUUAUACAACAUUUUAACUAAAAAAUUACAAAAAUAGUAUUUUUAAAUAAAGAUUUAAACUGAAAUUGAUAAGAAUUUAUACAUAACUAUUCAUUUAUUGAAUACAUCUUUUAUAAAUAUGUUUUAUAUAAAAUUUUAUCAUUUCACCCAGUUAAUAAAUAUUUAAUUAUAAAUAUGAUUCAUUUUUAUGAUUUUAUUAUGAUUCAUUUACUAAAUCGAAUUAUGAUGAAUAGUUCAAAAAUUUUAAAAAAAUUCGUUUAAAUUAAACUGAUAACAUCCCUAAAAAUAAUAGACUGAGGCGACAUUAUAUAUAUGUGAUAAUAUAUUUAUCAUUUCAAAUUUUGAAAAUAACAAAAAUUAAUUGAUUUAACAGCUACAACUUCAUCAGGACUAGCAGAAUUAAACCUAUGCUUUUAAUAAGGUGAAAAAGUGCAAAAUUUAACCUAUUCUUUUAAAUAAAUUGAAAAAAAGAAGAAGCAAAAUCCGACCUGCCGGAUUCGAACCAGCGACCUAAGGAUGGCUAUUAGGAUGUCCUACUACAGUCCUCCGCUCUACCAACUUAGCUAAGGACGGUUAAUUGUUAACAAUAUUAUAGAAUUCCUUAAUUAAACUGAUAUGGAAAUUAUUUGGAUAAUUAAUACUUACAUGACGUAUUUAACUUUUUUUUUUAUAAUAUUAGUACUUAAAGUUACUUAUGUCAAUUCUUACAAUUACCACAAGUAAUUUUCUUUUUCAUUAACGGAAAUUAUCACUUGACCGGUUUGACUAUUAACAUCGUUGACAUGGUUGACAAAAGCUACCAAAAUUUGCCACGUGGUAGUAUGCUAACCUAGCAUGCCUAGUCAGCAAAAAAAAAUUAUUUUUUAAAAUUUUGAAUAAUUAUUUUUUGAAAAUAUAGUUUUUUUUUAUAAAAAUUCAAAUGUGCAUAUAGAAUGAAUCUAGAUAAUAAGUUCUCCAGAUUCAAAUGAAUUUGUACAAACGGCUGUACAAAUUCAUUUUAGAGGAGUACAAAAUUAAAAAAAAUCUAAAAAUAAAUAAAAUUAUCAAAUGUUAAAAAACUCAAAAAAAAAUUUAAAAUAUUUUUAAUUUUUUUAAAUCAAUGAAGAUUUUUAACAAUUUGCUACGUAGUUCCAAAUCAACAACAUAAAAUUAAAGUUUUAAUUAAUGUAAUUAAAAUGCAUAUUUUUUAAUUUAAAAAAUUUUGAUUUUUUUAUAUUUGCCACGUGAGCAUGAAAUUUACAUUUUUCAAUUAUAACAUUCAAUUUAGCUAUCAUUACGAUUUAAUCUGAAAUACCAAAACAUCAAAUAACUAUCAAUCUAAUCUAUACAUAGUAUAAUAUUUAUCAAAACUACAUUCAGAACAUCAAUUAAUGAAUUUAAAUCUUUAUAUGAACUUACCUCGACAAAAACAAUUGUAAAAACGAAACUGACAACUAAUCUGACACUUUAGCUUUUCCUCAGUUUAGAUCCGUUUGGUUCGUUUAUUGAUCCAAACAAUAAGUUUCAUUCAAUUAAACCACCGAAAUAACUUAGAAUAAUUAAUUCAACUUAUAACCCUUAUCAAUGAGAAAUUACAACUUUUAAUUAAUCGAUCAAGUUUAGAGUUCAGGGUUUAAGAUUCAAGGUUGGGAUUUGAGGUUUAGGGUUCCGAGUUUUGGGUUUAGAAUUCAAGGUUUGGUUUAAAAAAUUUACCAAAAUUAUAAAUCAAUGACAUAAAAAGAAUUGUUGAAAUAUCAUUAAAUAGUUGAAAAGAAAUACAGGAUGCCAUGACGCCCCUGCUCAUCUACUAAAAAUUUGAAUAUGAAUAUGAAAAAAUAUAUAAUUAUAUAAAUCAAACACAUGCAUUCAACACUUAUAUUAAAAUCCAACUAGAUUUUAAAUAUGGGUGGGUCGGGUCCAAAUUUACUUUUCUUAAAUCGGAUCGAGUUUGAAUAAAAAAGUAAGUCCAUUUUCUGGACUGAAUUAAUCCCGAACUUAAAAAAUUGACUUAAAUAAGUUGCAUGAAUUCGACCCAAAUCUAACCCAACCCAAUUCAUAAAUAUCACUUAUUGCAAUUAAGCUAACGAAAAUUAUUAAGUUAAAUAACUUCUUAAAAUAGGUGAGUAGACAAUUUAAGCUAAUAAUAAUUCAAAGAAAAAGGUGCAAAGUGUAGGCCAUGAGCAUUAAAAUUUUCCUUCUUCUUGGAGUAAGCACAAUUACUAAAGAGUGAAUUCAAUUUAAACAACUAGGACCUAUAAUAAGAGCAUUCAUUUUUCUUUUCUGCCUCUUGCAUUUAUAUGGUAACUCACCCUUACAUAUCAACAUACAAAAUUGUUCUUUCAAAAAAGGACAUUUGUUUAUAUAAGUUAUUUUAGAUAAAACAUCAAUAAAAUAUUCUUCCAACUCAUAUUCGGGGUUAUACAAGCUUAUAAAAGCUCCAAUGGUAACCCGAGACCAUAUGAGAACUAAAAUACAAAGUUCUCAAGUUUUAUCGAGUUGGCGUCGCCACCAUGAAGGUUUCACGUCACGUCAUCCAUGGCAAAAACAUGGCGUCGUGACUUUGGUGCAAUGUUACGACUCUAAAAACAGUGAGUUGACGUUGCGACCUCAAACAGGGGACAUAGUGAUGUUGAAAGCUAGUGUCGCGACCUUGUAGGCAAAAUCCUACAAGCUCAUACCUUUUUAGUUUCAUCUUAUCAUUUAACAAAGUAUAGUUGAUCUUAAGACCUAAGUAACAAACAUCACAAUAUAUAGGUCCAAUUUCACAUCUUAAACCAAUAAGACUUUAACCGUCAUUCCACCAACACGCUUACAAGUGUGGGGUCCAAUUUGCACCCCUUACCCAUACGGGCCGUGUGCAAAAAUCCCGCGUCUCACAAGUAUGGUUCGAUUAAAAACGAUAGAGGAGUAGAUAGAUUGCGAAUGCACGUCUCCAAAAUUCGAUUUUCCAGCUAAUUAUAAACAAAAAACAUACAAAAUCUUAAAUUUCAAUAUAACAACAAAAUAAUUAGAUUAAAUUAGAUUAAAAGUAAUAAAAAAUUCUUACCAUUUGCAAUUGAACGGUCGAACUAAACGAAUAAGAGAAUUUGUCAUUAAUAAUUUCAAUAAAUAAGAAUAAAAAUUGUAAUACAAAAUUAAUUAAAAAAACCUUAAUACAAUUUUAAUAAAAAAUUGAGAAUGAACUGAGAGAAUUGAGUGAGAAUUAAGAGAAGAUUGAGAAUGAAUUGAGAGAGUUGAGAGUGAAUUGAAAAAGUGGGAUAUUUGGGGUUUAAAUAGGGGAAAAGACUUGCCGUUAGGAGGGAGUCGUUGGAAUUCGAUCGUAGCCGUUAGGAAAAACGCGUCUAGCUGAAUAUGUUUUGUUGACUAAGCAGGAAAGCGCAUCCAGUUGGAAGCAUUUUCGUGCCAAAUCUACUCUCUCUCCAAAAUCGGCUUAAUUUGAUAAAUUUUAGAAAAAAAUCGGUCUAAUCCGCUAUUUUUUUCGAAAAAAAAUAGCAUUUUUGGGUAAUUCACCCAAAAUAUGUUACUAUGAACGCUUAUUAUCAAUGUUUAAUACAAUUGUUUACUAUUAUUAACUAUAUUUUUGGCAGAUUUAUUGGAGAUCUUAUAAUGAAUUAGGCUUUAACAAAGGUAAACUAAGUGAAGGGCUUUUAUAGUAGUUUAGCCUAAACUAGAAGAUCGUAUAGUGGAGGCCUUGAACUCCAAUAGUUUAUAUAUUUUUCUCCUUCCUAUAUAUAAAGUUUGUCUAAACAUAUUGGUGAGGGAAAAAAAACAAAGAAAAUGAUGAAGUUUGAGGCUCAGAUUCUUUCAAAAGAAAUCAUCAAACCAUCUUCCCCAGAAAUUCAUCAAAAAGAACCCUUCAAACUCUGUGUAUUUGAUCAGCUAACUCCCACCACUUAUGUUCCAAUCAUAGUAUUUUAAGCCCUGAGUGAUACCAACACCACCAAUAUUUUGACUCAGCUGAAGAAAUCUCUUUCAGAAACCCUAAACAUCUUGUAUCCCUUCUCUGGGAGAAUCUUUAGUAACCUGUUCAUCCAUGAUUUCGACGCGGGUGUUCCGUUUUUAUCGGCUCGAAUCGGUUGUCGAUUAUCCGAGUUUCUCAGGCAUCAUACAAAUUGAGACCUUGAACAACUUGCUCCCGUGCACUCCUUUAUCCAAGGAAUCAAAUCAUCGGGGUCCUCUCUUGGUUUGUCAAGUCACCAUGUUUGCAUGUGGUGGAAUAGCUUUAGGCAUCUGCGCCUCACAUAAAAUCACUGACGCCAACACAACCGUCAUUUUAGGCUUUGUUUGGAGCACAAUCUGCCAAGGAUACCACCCUGAAAUUAGAUUUCCUGCCUUAUCUAAGGCAUCCUUGAUCUUUCCACCUAAAAAUCCAAUGCCCAAGAAUUACAUAUAUCCAUGAUGGAAAACUUAUGGUUCACUGAAGGUAAUUUUAUUACACGGAAAUUUGUGUUUAAUGAGGAAGCAAUAGCCAUCCUAAAGGACAUGACAAAAGGGGAAGUCGUGACCACACCGACACGAACCGUAGCUAUCUCGGCUUUCAUCUGGAAAUGUUCAAUGGCGGCAUCCAGGGCGAUACAAGGAACCUUGAAACCAUCCAUUGUAGUCCAAGUGGUGAAAAUGAGGUCAAAAGGGAAGCUUACGACAUUAGAUGGUUCGAUUGGGAAUGUGUUUUGGUUGGCGAGUGCACUCUCGAAUCCAGCCGAGACAGGCACCGAGCUAUCCACAUUGGUCGAGUUGAUGAGUCAAUCCAUUGCUGCUAUCGACGACGAAUACAUGAGAUCCGUCCAAGGUGAACAAGGGUUUGAAGCCAUCGCUGAGCACUUGAACCAGCUGGAGCUGUUGUUUUCCUUUGAAAAACCUGAUAUUUUCGCCUUCACCAGCUGGAUCAAUACUCAUUUUGACAAACUAGAUUUCGGAUGGGGGCAACCUUGUUCAUGGGCAAUACUGGGAAAAGCAGG